rnacentral:rRNA from 1 species
CCUACGGGUGGCUGCAGUGGGGAAUAUUGGACAAUGGGGGCAACCCUGAUCCAGCCAUGCCGCGUGUGUGAAGAAGGCCCUCGGGUUGUAAAGCACUUUCAGUGAGGAAGAACGCCUGGUGGUUAAUACCCAUCAGGAAAGACAUCACUCACAGAAGAAGCACCGGCUAACUCCGUGCCAGCAGCCGCGGUAAUACGGAGGGUGCGAGCGUUAAUCGGAAUUACUGGGCGUAAAGCGCGCGUAGGUGGCUUGAUAAGCCGGUUGUGAAAGCCCCGGGCUCAACCUGGGAACGGCAUCCGGAACUGUCAAGCUAGAGUGCAGGAGAGGAAGGUAGAAUUCCCGGUGUAGCGGUGAAAUGCGUAGAGAUCGGGAGGAAUACCAGUGGCGAAGGCGGCCUUCUGGACUGACACCGACACUGAGGUGCGAAAGCGUGGGUAGCAAACAGGAUUAGAUACCCGUGUAGUC